rnacentral:rRNA from 1 species
UACGUAGGGUCCGAGCGUUGUCCGGAAUUAUUGGGCGUAAAGAGCUCGUAGGCGGUUUUGUCGCGUCUGCUGUGAAAUCCCGAGGCUCAACCUCGGGUCUGCAGUGGGUACGGGCAGACUGGAGUGCGGUAGGGGGAGAUCGGAAUUCCUGGUGUAGCGGUGAAAUGCGCAGAUAUCAGGAGGAACACCGGUGGCGAAGGCGGGUCUCUGGGCCGAUACUGACGCUGAGGAGCGAAAGCGUGGGGGAGCGAACAGG